AAUUCUAAUAUAUUUAAAUAUUUAUCUAUAACAAACUCACUUCCUACACAUAAUUCUACUGAGUGCUUUGACCAAUAUACUUCUCAACCCCUUCAUAUUGCCAUGCUGUUUGUUUCAAAUACUCCAAUUCGCUUCUUAAAUCUUUCAGUCGGUUUUCAUGCUGCUCUUGUACUUGCAUUUCUUGACAUGUUGUAAUGACCUCGUAAAACUUGGUAUUUUUUAUAACUGCACUUGAAGACUCUUCACUCCUUUCUUCAUGAGCGGGGGUAAAUAGUACACAUUUCGGAACAUUCAGAUUAGCCAUAUUUUGACAAAUUCAGGUGCACGAAUGUUGUUAUAGGUUAUGUAUACGGGGCCAUAGAUCACAGAGGUCACUCUGUAAUCUGUGAACGGGGUUCCGUGCGCCGUUGCCGUGAUAACGAAAAGUAAUAAUUCCUGGGGUUAGUGGAAGCGUCAAUAGUUGUAUAGGCGCGAAUCUUGACAUCUCUGGUCCCGGUGAAUGACGCGCAGUUUGACAAUUUUAAAUUUAGCGCCGUUUGAAGUAUUUUUGUAAAACAAAUUGAAGGAGAAUAUUUAAAUAACUUGCAUCCAGCAUCUGGCAUUGACAGCUCUGACGCCGGGUUUCUUUAUCAUCAUGUUUUCUGUGCGAAAGUGGCAGUUUUUGAUUGAUUCGAAUAAGAUUUUUAAAGUUGCUUAUGUUUAUAUAGCAUUUAAUUAACUAAUUUUGUUCAGAACGCCAUUGUAAAAUAAGCUUGGAAUUGUGGAAUUUUCUUGCGGAAACUGUGGAAGCUUCUCACAAAUUUCACCCACAGCCGGACAAACUAAAAACUAAAACUUGCGCCUAAAAGUCAAGCAUUGAAGGUGAUUUACUUCGAUCGAUUGAUUUUCACGAUUUGAUAAGUGACUUUGCCAGAGAAAAAUAAAGAAACUUUUUUUA